GGGCCGCUGCGUAGGGCGGGGGCGCUGCGUGGGCGCGGAGUCCUAGGUCUCCUCUCACUGAAUUCCCUGAGCCGGGCACCCGCGCUGAGGGGAGGGUUGGUGGGGGCGCGGAGUCACAGGACGAGUUUCCGCGGCCAAGCUUUUCUGGACUCAGGCUUGAGGGCACGUAACCCGGUGGGCACAAGACCCACCAGGAGCAGGAGGAGCAAUCCUGAGAAAGACAGAUGGAGUCUCACUGUGUUGCCAGGCUGGAUGGAGUGCAGAAAGGUCCUUGAGGAAUCACCACACUGUCUUCCACAAUGGUUGAAUUAAUUUACACUCCCACCAGCAGUGUAAAAGUGUUCCUAUUUCUCCACAUCCUCUCCAGCAUCUGUUGUAUCCAGAUUUUUUACAGAUCGCCAUUCUAACUGGUGAUUCAGGGUCCUUCACAUUUCAAAGUGCAAUCAGUGGCAUUCACUUACCCUAUAGUAUUCAUCAGCCAUUAUCCUAUAGUGUCUGUGAGUAGCAUGCUCUAGCAGUUAACAGCAAAGAAAACGGCAGCCUCCUGUCAGUUUCACAGGUGAAGUUCUUGAUUUCCUGGUGUCUCCUACAGAUCAGCAUGGCAGAGCUUGGCUGGAGUCCCAUGGCACAAUCUUCACUCACUGUGACCUCUGCUUCCCGGGUUCAAGCGAUUCUUCUGCCUCAGCCUCCUGAGUAGCUGGGACUACAGGCACAUGCCACCAUGCCUGGCUAAUUUUUGUAUUUUUAGUAGAGAUGCAUUUUCACCAUAUUGGCCAAGCUGGUCUCAAACUCCUGACCUCAUGAUCCGCCUGCCUUGGCCUCCCAAAGUGCUGGGAUUACAGGCAUGAGCCACUGUGCCUGGCUCAUUUGUCUGUUUUCUAAACCAUUAGAGAAUAGAGGUAACAAGACAACUCAGUAAGUUCUGCAUAGAGACAGGUACAGCACUGAGAAAAACAGAACUCCUGCAUACGUUUAUCUGGGGCAGAUUCUACCAAAGCCCAUAAAAGCAGGUAGAAGAUAAACCAAAUGGUUUUAGUUUACUGCUACAAACCAAAGCUGGGCUUGAGUGAGUGUGCAAAGACCCUUACGGUCACACAUACAGAAGAAUCCUCACCAAAAGGGCAGGCCUUUCCAAUAGAAAUGCCCAGAGGCUCUCACAGGGAAAACCAGGAAGAAUCAAGAGAAAUUUUCCCUUCUUGUGGUACUGACUGGGAGAGAAAAAUAGCAGCAAAGACAUCAAAUCGACCUAAAUAUUUAUCAAUGAUAGACUGGAUGAAGAAAAUAUGGUACAUAUACACCAUGGAAUACUAUGCAACCAUGAAAAGGAACAAAACAAUGUCCUUCACAAGGACAUGGAAGGAGUCGAAAGCCAUUAUCCUCAGCAAACUGCGGGACACAGAAAACCAAACAUCACAUGUUCUCACUUAUAAGUGGAAGCUGAGUGAUGAAAAAACAUGAACACAUGGUGGGGCGGGGCGGGGGGCAACACACUCUGGGGCCUCUCAAGGGUCAGGCUGGAAGAAGGGAAAGCUCAGGAAAAAUAGCUAAUAAAUGCUGGGCUUAAUACCUAGGUGAUGCGAUCAUGUGUGCAGCAAACCACCAUGGCACACGUUUACCUAUGUAACAAACCUGCACAUCCUGUACAUGUAUCCCUGAACUUAAAGGUUGAAAAAACAAAUAUAUUUUAAAACAUCUGUUAAUUCCUAAAAGUUUUGCUCACCAUGCGUUUUCCCAAAGCACUAUAUUAAAAGUGAAAGUGAUUUCACACCAGA